rnacentral:rRNA from 1 species
UACGGGGGGGGCUAGCGUUGUUCGGAAUUACUGGGCGUAAAGGGCGCGUAGGCGGCCUACUAAGUCGGACGUGAAAUCCCUCGGCUCAACCGGGGAACUGCGUCCGAUACUGGUGGGCUCGAAUCCGGGAGAGGGAUGUGGAAUUCCAGGUGUAGCGGUGAAAUGCGUAUAUAUCUGGAGGAACACCGGUGGCGAAGGCGGCAUCCUGGACCGGUAUUGACGCUGAUGCGCGAAAGCGUGGGGAGCGAACAGG